AUGGCGGCUGUGAGAUCAUCAUCUUCAUUGGUAUCAAACCCAGUUUAUGAUCAAUGUUCUGACCAAGGAAGCAGGAACAAAUCUGAGCCGUUAAUUCCUGGGUUACCAGACGACAUUGCCGAGUUCUGCCUUCAUUACCUCCCCUCCCCUACCCCUACCAAGCUCUGGUGCGUUCAGUCUCUGCUUCGUGGAACAGAGCCAUCACAGACUCAGAGACAAGCUGGGACUUUCAUCGAGCACCUGGUGUGCACAUAAGGGGUCGCUCUGCAGCGGUCCAAGGGGUCGUCCAUGGAGUCCACAACCAAAUUUCAGGCAUUCCAAGGGGUCUCUUGUCUGAUAUGGAACUUCAAAUCUUGAAGCUUCAGGUGAAAUUGAAAAGAAUCAGGGCAAAGGAAUAAGACAUUCAAGUGAGCCGGAGCUCUGAAUUGAAGGCGGCAUGGAAACUUCAGAAACAGCUUAGCUCUGCUCAACCUGGCUUGGAGGAAGCUGAAACUACCGUCCUCAUGGGUUCCAAACUGAAAUUUGAUGUAUU
rnacentral:lncRNA from 1 species